GUCUCCUAGCACAAGACACAUCUGGAGUAUGCAGCACAGUUUGGAAAGAGUGAAUAAAGCUUGAGACACUGAUUGCCAAGGUUUGAUCAAUGCUUCCAGACUGAUGACAGUAAGAGCAUUCAGGCAGCAGGGACCUCUUCUUCCUGAGGGUAGCUGUGCUUUGCCAAGUGGGGAGAUCCACACCUCUGCAAGGCAAUUUCUGGAGCUGUGCAGGAGCGUGCUACAUUGAGGAGGUACCCAGCAACAUUUCUGGCAAGAAGAACAAACACUGCAGGACUUAACAACAUAUUCCAGUAUUUUUCAGUUCCUGUAGAGAAAUCAGCCUUUUUGAGCAACAGAUGGAGAAACAGUGAUCCAUCAGAAAACACCUCAGAGCUGAAACUGGUGUCAUGGAGCACCCAUAGAGAGAGAACUGCGAUGGGAGACAGACUCUGGAGAAGGUGUAUGUGACCUGGAUCACAGUAUUUCUGAUGG
rnacentral:lncRNA from 1 species